CAGCCGCCGCGGGAAUACGAAGGGUGCAAGCGUUAAUCGGAAUUACUGGGCGUAAAGCGUGCGUAGGCGGUGAGUUAAGUCUGCUGUGAAAUCCCCGGGCUCAACCUGGGAAUGGCAGUGGAUACUGGCUCGCUAGAGUGUGUCAGAGGAUGGUGGAAUUCCCGGUGUAGCGGUGAAAUGCGUAGAGAUCGGGAGGAACAUCAGUGGCGAAGGCGGCCAUCUGGGACAACACUGACGCUGAGGCACGAAAGCGUGGGGAGCAAACAGGAUUAGAUACCCCUGUAGUCCCUGUCUCUUAUCC
rnacentral:rRNA from 1 species